rnacentral:rRNA from 1 species
GUUGUCCGGAAUUACUGGGCGUAAAGAGCUCGUAGGUGGUUUGUCGCGUUGUUCGUGAAAUCUCACGGCUUAACUGUGAGCGUGCGAGCGAUACGGGCAGACUGGAGUACUGCAGGGGAGACUGGAAUUCCUGGUGUAGCGGUGGAAUGCGCAGAUAUCAGGAGGAACACCGGUGGCGAAGGCGGGUCUCUGGGCAGUAACUGACGCUGAGGAGCGAAAGCGUGGGGAGCGAACAGG